AACGCCGCGUGAGUGAUGACGGCCUUCGGGUUGUAAAGCUCUGUUAAUCGGGACGAAAGGCCUUCUUGCGAAUAGUGAGAAGGAUUGACGGUACCGGAAUAGAAAGCCACGGCUAACUACGUGCCAGCAGCCGCGGUAAUACGUAGGUGGCAAGCGUUGUCCGGAAUUAUUGGGCGUAAAGCGCGCGCAGGCGGAUAGGUCAGUCUGUCUUAAAAGUUCGGGGCUUAACCCCGUGAUGGGAUGGAAACUGCCAAUCUAGAGUAUCGGAGAGGAAAGUGGAAUUCCUAGUGUAGCGGUGAAAUGCGUAGAUAUUAGGAAGAACACCAGUGGCGAAGGCGACUUUCUGGACGAAAACUGACGCUGAGGCGCGAAAGCCAGGGGAGCGAACGGGAUUAGAUACCCCGGUAGUCCUGGCCGUAAACGAUGGGUACUAGGUGUAGGAGGUAUCGACCCCUUCUGUGCCGGAGUUAACGCAAUAAGUACCCCGCCUGGGGAGUACGACCGCAAGGUUGAAACUCAAAGGAAUUGACGGGGGCCCGCACAAGCGGUGGAGUAUGUGGUUUAAUUCGACGCAACGCGAAGAACCUUACCAGGUCUUGACAUUGAUGGACAGAACAAGAGAUGGUUCCUCUUCUUCGGAAGCCAGAAAAC
rnacentral:rRNA from 1 species